rnacentral:rRNA from 1 species
AUUGAACGCUGGCGGCAGGCUUUACACAUGCAAGUCGAGCGGUAGCAGGCCGCUAGCUGCUGGCGAGUGCCGAACGGGGGAGUGAAGCGCCGAAACGUGCGCAUGCUAGGGGGAGAACUAGUCCGGAAACGGGCUAAAACCCCGCACAAGCUAUGGGGGAAAACGGGGGGGCGCAUGGCCCCUCACGAUUUGAGCGGCGCAUAGGUCGGAUUAGAUAGUUGGUGGGGUAAAGGCACACCAAGGCGACGAUCCGUAACUGGUCUGAGAGGAUGAACAGCCACACUGGAACUGAGACACGGUCCAGACUCCUACGGGAGGCAGCAGUGGGGAAUUUUGGACAAUGGGCGAAAGCCUGAUCCAGCCAUGCCGCGUGUAUGAAGAAGGUCUUCGGGUUGUAAAGUGCUUUUGUAUGGAAGGAAACGGCUUAGGUUAAUACCCUGCUCUAAUGACGUUACCGACAGAAUAAGCACCGGCUAACUUCGUG